GUUUUAAGCCCUGUCAGCUCUGCACUGGAGCGUUUAAAGACAAGGCAGUUGAUUAUGAGGGGCUGCUUCUGAGGAUGGGAGCCAGGAGUUCCUCAGGAGAGGGAACUGGCUGAAUGCAGAAGACCAGGAGGAGGACUCAGAUCCACAUCUGGUUGCCUCUUUGUUUUCCUCAUGUCCAUAGCUGGCUAGCAGCAUUCACCCAGUAUUGAAAUUGAGAUGUUAAAAGAAUCUGUCUUUUUGCUUGUUGCUCUGGAAGAGCCACCAGAGGAUGAAGCACCAGAAAAAAAUAUUGGGCGACACACUGAAAGGGCAAAGUUUAUUUUGUGGUGCCAGGGAGGUGAGCUUUGUUCCACAGGUUUCUGGAAGAGAAAUAAUGAAGUUGGUGUAACCAGUGAAGUGGCAGAUUUGCAAAUUGCACCAAAGCAGAUUGUGAGGAGCUCCAAAAGGUUCUCUCCUAAUUGGGUCAUGGCAGGAGUGAGAAAGCCUCACACAAUGAAUCAGCGCAGCCCAUCUGGGCUUGUAUGCAGGCUAGACAUGGAGCACCAGCCUUGAUGUCAAACUGGAUAAUGAACAGCAACAUUCCUCCUCAGAAAAAACAUUCAAAUAACUGUCAUAUUGAAUUAGAGUGCUUGUUGGGAGGAAGAAAGUCUGUUAAGCCCAUGGAGUUGUUCUUGGGGUGUAAAUUCUGCAGAGGUUCAGAAUUUCUGAAGCAUAUUUUUUCUUUUGCUCUUUCAUUUCUCCAUUUUUAUUUACAAGGUUUAUUUAUUUAGGUUUGUGUAUCGCCUUUCAUUAUAACAUUUGACAGCAAUGUACAACGUAGAUCUCUUCAUAACAUACGUUGGGUCUCUUGAUCCACAAUACCACCUACAAGCAAUAAAUAAUCUUAUGGCAUAUUAAAGAUGACAUGAUAAAGAUGUAAAUAUUGUUUAACAUUUAAAUUGCUGAAAUCUUAUUUUUUGCUUAAGCAUUAACAUGGUCAGAUCCAUUUUUUUAAUACUACCUACAAGCAAUAAAUAAUCUUAUGGCAUAUUAAGGAUGACAUGAUAAAGAUGUAAAUAUUGUU